rnacentral:lncRNA from 1 species
AGGCGCUGGCGGAGGCGGCAGCCUCCUAGCACCUCUUACAGCUGCCGCCGCAGACGCCAACCCGGGCGGAGGGGGCGCAGGCGUUAGUAGUGCCCACCACCACGUUGCUGUUGCUGGGGACGCUACUGACUCUGGUGGAGACAACAGGGGCAGUAGUGGAGGCGCAGAGAUCGCCACAGACAACGCCACCGCGGGAGCUGCUGACGCCUGCAGGGGAAAGAGACGGAGGCGCGCGUCAGGCGCAGCCGCGACCUGGGUGAGUGGCUUUGCUGCGAGCCCACGCGCCCUUUGCCCAGAGGCUCCCAGACCCGCCCAGCGGGAGGAGGGGACGGACCCCACUACUUACAGACAUUCACCGAGCCGACGCCCUCGCACAGCCUGCAGGGAGAGAAGGCGAGAGGUCAGUGCCGCGGAAAAGGCGCCGGGCCCCCGUGACUGAAGUGGAGGGGGACAUCUGUGGCCCUCCAUCUGGGCACUUGCCCAAGGGAAGGGGCAAGAAAUGCUCUCGGCCAGGAGCCAGUGUAGACUCGGGUCACCGUGAGGGUCUGGAGACAGAAGGCCUGUGAGUGCCUCGCUCUCCACUGCUUCUGAGCUGUGCAACCCCAGCUUGGGCCAACCUCAGCCUAGGCUUCCUCAUCAGGAAAACCUACUUCGUAGAUCUCUUGCGAGGACUGAAUCAAAUAAGAAGCGUCCAGUGCUUAGUGCCUGGCUCAUAGCCCUUAAGAGCUAUUAGCUGCCACUACCUCGAAGUUGGUUCUGACUGAAUUGCAGGUGCAUUUGAGGGGAGCAGAUUUAACUUCUGAAAUCCAGUCUGAUUGGUGUCAUUAGAUUAUAGGCAUCAGGAGGGUAGACAUUUUUGUCUAUUCCUUCCUGCACCACCUAAAAACAAUGCCUGGCUCAAUACAAAACUGUUAGAUAAACAAAUGGGAUUUUAGAACAGGCUCAGAGACUGCCCACCACAGUCCUCUCAUCCGGCAGAUGGAAAGGCUGAGGCCCAGAAGGAGGACAUAUCCAAUGACAAGGCAGGGCUGUCACCCCAGACACUCAUUUCUACCCACCCCACAUUUCCCUCCCAAUAGCUUCCCCUAAGGGAAGAAAAUGGAGUUCCCCUGAAAGCACACUGGCCAAGGAUUGGUUAAAUCAGCUUCAGAUAAGAGAAGCCAUGGCCACCAUCAAAUCAUUCCAUGCCCAGGUUCCCUAGGUAACACAUACCAAAGCUCCUGAGUUCACUCCAAGAGCCCCGUGUGAUGGAGGAGUGGGCCACUCAGAUUCCAAUGCCAUCUCCAUGUGUUUCUCCAACUUCCAAAUUCAGACUUGGAAAACUCCUCCUCCCAGAAUUCUUCACUUAUGAAAUUCCCCAGGCCCAGCCAGACAGACCCCUGCCUCUGAGCUUUCCAAUGGAACAACUCGAGUUUGGUGGAAAUCUCGUCAUAUGGUCACUUUAGUUUCUAGGUCCCAAACCUGUGUUCCCCAUUUCCCAAAUAAACAAGAUGCUCCCUCUGCAUCCCCAACCUUCACCCUCCUCUCCCCAGGGCCAAGGGCCUGACUGUCCACAAAAAAAAAGGAGCUUCGAGUGAGACCAACUGACCAACUAGGGGAAAGAAACCAAGGGCAAAGAAUGAGCUCACAUUCUGGGAGUGUUGUCCUUCUGGGAGCAGGAGCUGUAUAGCUGCCCUCCAGCUGUAUCGCUGGCCUCCAGCCAUAGGAAGGCUGAGUGACCAAUGGGUCUUCUCCACUCCCCCCACCUCUGAAGCAAGCAAACAAGCAAAAAUCCUGAAAGCAAGGCAUAACUGCCCCAAGGGAUAAGUCCUUGCUCUCUGCCUAACUCAUUCCCACCUGCCACAAUGGAAUACCACUUUGGGAUGCUCAUUGGCACUAUAAUAGAAAAGCAUGAGUUGAUAGUGUCAUCUAUCUGAAGCUGUCCUUAUGGGAUACAUCUGAACUCCCAGGUCUAGAUGGGGCCAGGGCCAGACUAGGAAAAAGAGAAGGAAUCCUGAGAAGCACAUGCAGCUACAGCUGGAAGGGAAGAAGCACUACCCAGGCAAGCUGACCCCAAGCCUUAAUUAGGCUUCUCAGUAACAGGAAUACCUGCUGCCAGAUUACUGGAUCUCAACUGAGAUGAACAAGACUGCAAUCUCAGAUCAGUGCCUGGGUGAACAUGAGAGACUCAAACGGGGCUAGAUCAUACUUAAAGGACUUACACAAAUUACCUGUCUGGUUGCAGGGUGGGGAGGUUAAGAAACAAAACUUAAAUGCUGCCAGGAGUGUGAGGACAGAGCACACUGAGAACCCUGGCAGGGCUGGGAAAGGGAAAGGUCUAUGGGACCCACCUCUGCUCCUCGCCCUCCAGCAGGCGCCUGUAGGUGGCGAUCUCGAUGUCCAGCUGGCCCUGGACAUCGAGAUCGCCACCUACAGGAAGCUGGUGGAGGGCGAGGAGGGCAG